ensembl:lncRNA
AAAAUAAACAGCACCGUUGCUCUGAAUGUUAUCAUUUCAUAAUUUAACUCCAGCUGUGGACAUGGCUAUGGCGCAAUGGAAAUGGCUUCAGCUCUGUUAAGCGUGUUUGUGAAUGGAGCCAGCCUUGUUUGCAUCCCUAGUUUUAUUUCCCUUAUCUAUCAUAGCAACAAUAACAAACCUGUUGUGAUGUAUCUUGGGAAACUAUCUGUAUGAACUGUAUCGCACACGUUGCAGGGUGAAGUGUUGAGAACUGUGUUCUACCCUUUAAAUAAAUCUGGAAACUUUCAGCAGCCCUUAUAUGCCCACCUGAGAGAAUUCUAGGUAGUACCUGCAAAGCUGACUGGGUUUCCUCAGCAAAAUUAUGCUAUAGCCCCCUGCGCCAGGAGUGAUGCCGGACACUCCACUGAGGCUAAAUUAUAGAUAUUAACAACAACCAGCCUUAACAAAAGGAGGGGGUUGUUUUGUUUUCUUACUCAUGCCUGGGAAAGGCAGUCAUUGCAUUUACCUUCUAAGUUCAGUGUCUAACAACAGGGGAGUUAGAGGGUUUUCUUCCCAGAAGCAUGUUGCAGGUGAGAUGUGGUAGAAAACCAGCAUUGUGCUGGCCUUUCUCGGUACUUUAAGACUUCUAUGAGUCAUUUCUUAACUCAGAAUGAUGAAUAUUCGCACCAGAUUUACAAACAAGCCGUUCAGUAGUAGUCCUAAUUCUAGAAGGUGGACUUUUUACAGACUGUCACCUCCUACUGCUUUGGCAACAUGAAUAAAUGAGGACCAAGAGACAAGAUUCUCUUCUUUGAGCUCCCUGAAAAUAUGACCUCUAGUAAUUUUACUGAUGUACUGCCCAUUCCCUCAGGCAGCGAACUUGACUGGUUAAAUGCAUUGUGUGUGAUGAUCCCUGUGCUCCUGGUGUGCGUUAACUUCAAAAUAAUUAGAAGUUGCUUUAUUUAUCUGUACCAAUCCAUAUUACUACAGCACAUCUAUAGUAAUUCACACUUUGUCAGAAAUCUGUUCUCAACUUCUUUAACUUUGUCCCAGUGCAAUAGGCCAUAAAAACCUUUUUCUCCUUGCCUUGGGACUCUUUAAAUAAAAACAAACACAUACAGAAUGUUAUCUGCAAUCCAGUAAACCCAGCCAGGUUGAUUUAACUUGAUGAUGUCCCACCCAUGUUUUUGAGGGGUCAUGCCAGUUCAGAAACACCUUUGUCAAAUCCUUUCUAUGGCAGCAUAUAAUAACUUACAGUAGUGAAUGAAUCACGUGCUUGGGGAAACAUAAAGCUUCAGUGCAUAUGAGAUCCCAAGGAAAGACUACAACAGGUGAUUUGAGCACUAACAAAGCUGAAUUAACUGACCUGUUACCAUCAGAUAUUACUGGAUAUCUGAAAAGGUAAAAAUGUUCAGUUCUUCUAACUACAUCGUACAGAUACAGUCAAAACUGAUUAUUUUUCUGACCAAAGAUAAGCCACUUGCACAUCUCCUUCAAUGUUUUUUUUUUUUUUUCCACAACAUGUAUCUGAAGUAUCUCAGGUUAGUUCUACAUGAUGCAGGAAAAUAUCACAGUAUACCUGAUGCUGCUGCGUAGUGACAGCUGGUUGAUAAGUAUGUGAUUAUUAAGUUAUUUUUUAUGAAGUUCACUGUUUAACAACUGAUCAGCCAUAACGUAUUUAUUAUGGCAUGUAAGUCUAUAAAGUAUCAAUAAUGUAGAGUGAUUUAUUAUAGAGUAAUACUGAAGCAGCCUGUGGUAGUGUAGGUAGUGCCUCUGAAGCACAUGGUUUAUCAUGUCCUUACAACAACCUCACCCCUGCUCAUAUUUUCAAAAGAAGGAUGAAGUAUUAUAAUAGUUUAUUGUUUCAUUUUAUUUAAAAAUAGGACUUCUGCUUUCCCAAGGCUGUCAGGUGUAACUUAUUUCUCAAGGCAACGACAGUUACUGUUUGCAGCUGAUACCCAGUCACUCCAUUAGACAGCAAAAGCCCUGCAGCAAGCGUUCUGUUUUGUGGUAAGCUCAUGAUACAGUCACAGUAAGGAGAUACCUCAGGGGUGCUUUGAAGACGGUAAGGAUCUACUUAAUGACAAGUAUAUUCUUAUUUUUCUGUGGCUUCAGCUUCUCAGAGAUCUGAAGUUGGAGUCAUUUGUUUGUUUCACUGUUGUCAAAUUCACAUUGUCAAAUGUUUGUAUCUCUAAUGUGAAUUAUAGGACUUAUUUGUGUAUGUGUGUCUUCAGUUGCAGGUGCGAUUCUUCGCUAAACAACAGAUACAGCGUGGCAAGUGUUGAUAGAUAUUAACAUCAGUGCAGGUGUAGAACUUACACCAUAUGCAGAACCAGCACUUUCUUGCAGUCCCUGGGCUGAUGGGGAAACCCCUCUGUCUCAAAGCAAGCCACAUGUGAGGGUUUUGAACCAGCAUGCUCAAUAGAGACCUGUGAUAUCCACAUCUAAAUCUGCUCUGGUUACGCUCAGUACUCAAUUAGCAUGCUUCCACUUGGGUGUUUAUGAUUUUUGGUGCAUCGGUUGUUCCUUCUAUACUGCUGAAUCAGUAAGGCUGCCUGGCUGUUGCCACAGUGGAAGGUGUAUUUAAUUCAGUGACUGUGCUGUGACAUACAAAGAGGUGUUGUUUCUGAGAGCUCUUCUAGUCAUGGAUUCUGAAGAACUACAACCAGAAAGCUGUUAGUUUCAAACGCUUUGCAUAUCCCUAGCUUGCUCUUACAGAUUUCCGUAACCACCAGGAAUGCUGGAUGCCAGGGAGGAUGCAGAACCCAAGGAAAUCAAAAGGAGCCAUGAGUGUACUCUACAGGGCAAUGGCAGUAUUUGCCAGCUAUGGCUGCAAUACGUAUACACGGAAAGGAGAAAGUACAUGAAGUUCUACUUAAGGUUUUCCUAUGAGCUUCUACGGUUUUCUCUGGGAGCAUCACGAAGAGUUAGGCAACUCCAGAUUGAAAGACCCUGGCCUCAAGGGCUGAAGAAUAGAGCUACAUUGUAACAUCCUGAUACUUGCUGACAAUUUUCUCCCUUAAUAAAACGUUGCCGCUGUCCUCUCCAUUUAUAGCAUCAAAGAGAACCCUUCUAACCUCCUAAAUCCUGUUUUAGUGUCGUAGGCUACAGAUUAUUAGCCAAAGCACAACUGCAUUUGAUGUAGUUAUAUCAGGAAGAAACAUAAGUAACAUUUAUAAUGCAGAAAUACUUAAAAAAAUUUAUUAAAAUUUAUUAAAAUAUGUUUAAAAUUAAAAUUUAAAGCAUUUAAACUUCUGUGUGAGCUCCGAGGCAGCUCUGUCUUUGUGUAUUACUGAAUACGAAAUGCUGAGAGGAAUUGAUGUGGCGGUCUCCUUUUUCUCUAGUUACCCUCCUGCAGCACAGCGCAGCCCGCUGCCCCUACAGGACAGCCUGCUUCAUGACGUUGUCCCUCAAGAUCUCAUUCCACUGUUAAUUUUUUUGUUGUUGUUGUUAGAAUAAAACACCUUGAAGUCCUGCUCUGACUUACUGCCUUCCUGACUUUGCCCUGCAACUCCGAGUAACACCCUGCGUGUGUACUUCACGUCAAAGUAAACUCGAGUUAAAAACACGCUAUUUGCGAAGUCAUUUAAG